AAAGGGAGACCUAAUUCAGGUAAAAGACGAAAAAAAAGUAGUCGCUACCAAGAAUCAAUCCCAAAAGGUCGGAGCGAGGCGAAAUUGGCUUUCAAACUAGGUUCUGGGUUCAAACAAGACCUGAAUCAGGAACAAGGGCUAUUAGCUCAGGUGGUCAGAGCGCACCCCUGAUAAGGGUGAGGUCCCUGGUUCGAGUCCAGGAUGGCCCACCUGCACAGGUGGCAAAAACAAGAGAAGCGAGGAAUCAGCACCUUAUCUUACUUAUAUAGUAAGAGAGAAUGCUGGCUCUGAGUAAAGAGUCCAGAGGAACCUUGAAAACUGCAUAGAGCUAGGUGAAAAAGCCAAAAAAGAAGACCGCAAG
rnacentral:tRNA from 1 species